UUUUAAGAUUUUAGAAAAGGAAAUAACAGCGUGAAUGAUCAAAAAUUCCGGCGCAGCAAAUGCAUGGCGAAAACGACUUUGGGGUUUAGUCACCGUCAGAUCAAUUUUAAAGAAUGCUCUGAAAAAUUGUUUAUUCUAGAGCAGAAAUGCAAAAAAAAAAAAAAACCACACAAAAACACAAAAAAAACAAAAACAAAUGAAAACCCAUCGAAAGCGACCUGUAAAGGGUUUCCAACAAGGCACUAGCACUUUGUUGGUGUCUCUGCGCAGGGUCUGGCACUAUAUGGGGGGAGUUCGACUUCUUGUCCAGUCCCUUUACAGCACUUGCCCGACUCCGAGUAACUGACGGAUAAACAUCGUCGCCAUGUGUGCCUGUUCCAGUUGGAGCAAGAGGCUAUUACAGGAAGAUUAUCUUGAUCAAUAUGCAACAAGGAAGUCAACACCACAGACUGUCCCAGUAUCUUGCAGUAACGCUGCACAAAUCUGCAGAAGAGGUCUUGGCCAAGUCCAAACAGAUGUAUAUACAAGGACUUGGCCAAAGUUGUGUUAACUCAAUGUUGGUGGCCUGGAUCUGGGUAUAAAGAUAAUUGGCAUGAGGCCAUCUUUGGAAAGGAAAAUGUUGAAAAGUUGCUCCCCAUUUCAGGGGACAAGAUACAAAGCUACUGCAUAGCCCUGUUUAAAACAGGGUAUGCACCAGCCAAGUGUUAAAGAAUAAUGCCCCCAAAAGACUGACGCAGCAUCUUGCGGGAACGUCUCAAAAAUCUGCGGAGGAGGUCCUGGCCGAGUC